GCCGGGGUGGCCGAGCGGACCAAGGCGGUGGCCUGGAGAGCCACUGCCCCCUUGCGGGCGCCCGGGUUCAAAUCCCGGCCCCGGCGCCA
rnacentral:tRNA from 1 species